rnacentral:snRNA from 1 species
GGAUGUGAGGGCGAUCUGGCUGUGACAUCUGUCACCCCAUUGAUCACCAGGGUCGAUUCAGCUGAUCUGGCUGACUGGGUGGGUGUCCCCUUUCUCCCUCACCGCCCCAUGUGCGUCUCUCCCGAAGCUGCACACUCGGUGGAAGAGGAUGACCAUCCGAGACAGAAGGGGAGUAUCUUCAGUCAAGGGUAUACGAUAGCUGCGCUCCCCUGCUAGAACCUCCAAACAAGCGUAAGGUUUCCAAAUCUUCUGUGGCUUGGCAUUGCAGUAUCAGCCCUAGACAAUCCCCCUCUAGAAUUCAUCU